CUUCUUUCUUAUCUUUCUUCUUCUUCUGUUUCUUUCUUUCUCUAUUCUUCUCUGUGGAGAAUCUGUGAGUCAUGCAAGUGGAUUCAUUGAUAGGAAAUCGAUUGAUAAAGAUGUUUGAAUGAUAAAGGAGAUGAUAUGGUUGUCAAUUAUGAAGAAAAACGAUUAGGGUUUCUGAAAUUCAUUGAAGAUGUGAAUUGAGAUGAUUAAGAAGAAAUUAAUGGGUGGGUUUUUAUGAACUUGAAGUGAAGAGGAAGAUUAUGAUGCAAAUUUAAAGAUCCAGUUACUAAGAAGACGAAUUGGAAUCCAGUUCUCGAUUUACAGUGAAGAAAAGGUAAUUUAGGGUUUCGUUGUUUUGAUUUAGUCUUAUUUGAAAUUGGAUAAUAGUUGAUGAUUCUUAGAUGGGUCUGUUUAGAUUGAUGUUGAAUCAGUUAUAUGGAGUUUAUUUCAGUUCAAUUGCGAAUUUGAGAUUUACAGACGUUAGUAAUGAAGAUGAUGUUGUUAGAACCGGAGUUUGCAGAUGGUGAAUUCUCAGUAAGAACAUGUAUGAGUUUUAAAUCAGAAUGAGAUGUAAUGGAAUUGAAGUCUGUUGGUAUUGUGAAUGUAUGGUUUAGAUGAAUGUGUGUGUGUAAGAUUUCCAACUGAGCUACAAGUUGCUUUGAUGUUGUUAAAGUUACAAGGAAUUGUUGAAUAUUGAAUUGAGUUUAAGGCAGGUGGUAUGAUGUGCAGUAUGUCUUGCUCAACUAAUAAAGAGAAUUAGAUGAAUGAUAUAGGGUAGUGUGCGUAACUGUUGCAGAUUGAAGUUGUAUUAUGGCUCAUAUAUGCAUCUGUGGUUAUAUAGAGAAUGUCGAGUUAGUAUUGCAGCUGUGAGAGUUAUAUGAAUGGGUAAUAUGCUAGGGAUGACUGUUAAGGAUUCACAAUUGUGGUUGAAUGUGCUGAGUUGCGAAUAAGCUGAACUGGUGAUGAUUAUAAAGUUGCAGUUACUGUUAGCUGUAGAAGCUUGGAACUGCUGAAUUGCCGUUAGUUAUUAUCAAAGAUCGAUUCAAAGGAUGAACCAGUGGAUCGUGGAUCUUGAGGUAGGCGUGGCUUGUCAUCAAAAGAGUUUCAGAGACGGAUGUGAAUUUCGCAGUGAAAGCUUCGAGGAGUUGAGUCCGUUAGUUGGUUGACUUUUACUAUAUUUAUUAUAUUACAUGUUGUAUUUGUAAACCAAAUGACUAUUGUAUAUGUAUCAUUUGAGAGGAGUUCUUGUAUAUAUAUAUAUUUCUGAGUUUUACUAUCUUGCUACAGAUCGUUGAGUCUCACUAUGAUCAGGCAAGAUAGAUAAAAACCGCAAAGUUUCUUCGUC